rnacentral:tRNA from 1 species
GGAAGGUUGGCCGAGUGGUCGAAGGCACCUGACUGAUACUCAGGCAGGCGGGGAACCGUCUCGAGGGUUCGAAUCCCUCCCCUUAUUC